UACGUAGGGUGCGAGCGUUAAUCGGAAUUACUGGGCGUAAAGCGUGCGUAGGCGGUUCGUUAAGUCAGACGUGAAAUCCCCAGGCUCAACCUGGGAACUGCGUCUGAUACUGGAUGGCUUGAAUCCGGGAGAGGGAUGCAGAAUUCCAGGUGUAGCGGUGAAAUGCGUAGAUAUAGGAAGGAAUACCAGUGGCGAAGGCGGCCUCCUGGAUCGAUACUGACGCUGAGGCGCGAAAGCGUGGGGAGCAAACAGG
rnacentral:rRNA from 1 species